rnacentral:lncRNA from 1 species
GGCAGGAGCCGCCUGGGGAAACGCCUGUGUUCCUGGCCACGGGCUGCAACUCACAGCCUCUCUACGUGGCUGCCUAACUGGGACAAUAAAUCCCUGGAGAUGAAGAAGAAGCAGUGUCUGGUGUACCCACCAAGUAAACUCUGAUCUCAAGCUUUCCUUAGAUGCUCAGAGUUCAACUUCAGUGAAGUUGCUGCUGAACAGAGGCACACAGAGCCAGGGGAGUGAGUGGGGAGAAGCAUGGAAGCAGAAGAAGGUACUGUGCCUUCUCAAAGUCUGUGAAAAGAGACACCUGAGAUCAUUGGGAAACAAAAAAUCUACAAAUCAUGGUCUUUUCCUGAUCCAGGAGAUAUUCAACUGAGUCUGGCACCGUUUAAGGUCUGAUAGGAGAUAUUUACCACCUAUUACUCUUUCUGAAGGCUGCUACCAGAAGGCUUCAUCUUCAUAACAAGAACCUUGGCCUCCACAACCCUCCUUAUCUUAACCCUAAGCAUUUCUGUCUUAACUCCUUAGAAAGAAACUUAACUGUUUCAACCAACUGCCAAUCAGAACACCUUUGAAUUCAACUAUCAGCUGUAAGCCCAACACCCUCCUUGAAGUUGUCCUACCUUUCUGGACCAAAUGAACAUAUACGUUACAUACACUGAUUGAUGUCUGCCUAUAAAUUCUGUCCCCCUAAACUGUGUAAAAUCAAGCUGUAACCCAACCACUGUGUUUGGAUACAUGUUCUCAGGACCUCCUGAGGCUAUGUCAUGGGUCAUGGUCCUCACAUUUGGCUCAGAAUAAAUGUCUUUAAAUAUUUUACAGAGAUUGGCUUUUUUUUCUUUUUUCUUUUUUUUUUUUUUUUUGUUUGUCAACAGCAUAGAAACAUCCAUACUAAACAUACCUGGCAGAAGGUCAGUGCAUCUCUCCC